rnacentral:rRNA from 1 species
ACUCAAAUGAAUUGACGGGGGCCCGCACAAGCGGUGGAGCAUGUGGUUUAAUUCGAUGCAACGCGAAGAACCUUACCUACCCUUGACAUCCUAGGGAUUCUGCAGAGAUGCGGAAGUGCCGAAAGGAACCUAGAGACAGGUGCUGCAUGGCUGUCGUCAGCUCGUGUUGUGAGAUGUUGGGUUAAGUCCCGUAACGAGCGCAACCCUUAUCCUUAGUUGCCAACAUGUAAUGGUGGGGACUCUAAGGAGACUGCUGGUGAAGAACCGGAGGAAGGCGGGGACGACGUCAAGUCAUCAUGGCCUUUAUGGGUAGGGCUACACACGUGCUACAAUGGUCGGUACAGAGGGCAGCCAACCCGCGAGGGGGAGCCAAUCCCGGAAAGCCGAUCGUAGUCCGGAUUGAAGUCUGCAACUCGACUUCAUGAAGUCGGAAUCGCUAGUAAUCGCGAAUCAGAAUGUCGCGGUGAAUACGUUCCCGGGCCUUGCACACACCGCCCGU